CGCUUGGUUCUGGGUACUCUUUCCUCCAUUGACGUCCGGAUUCUGACAACACAAAUAACAGAUAGAUACAUUUAUGUGAGAUGCAGAUUGGGAUGGAAAUAUUCUACCAGAUAUGAUGCUUAUUUCAAGAACAAACGGAGACCAUCACUCCUAGUGUUCAGGGCAGACCCAGCUGCCUACAACAACAAGGGCAGGUCGGAGUUCCAAAUAGCUGGUUUUCCCAAAGAGCCACAUCCUGGGAGUAUCAAUGAGAACACCAUAGGGCUGUUUAUUUGGAGCAUGCUAGGGUGGAGGGCCCUGCUGCUGAGAGGAUGACGACAGGAAGAGGAUGCCUUAACGAAGACCGAUUACACGGUGGGGAGCCAAAAGUGUAAGAAUUAGCAGAGGAAUCUUCGAACCACAUAAACAUGAAGCAUGCACGGAGAUGCAGAUAUAUCAAGGAAUUACUGGGUUAAAUGAUCACUAUCUUCCAAGGUGAUGGCAUCUCA
rnacentral:lncRNA from 1 species